GCCUACGGGGGGCAGCAGUAGGGAAUCUUCCACAACGGACGAAAGUCUGAUGGAGCAACGCCGCGUGAGUGGAGAAGGGUUUCGGCUCGUAAAGCUCUGUUGGUAGUGAAGAAAGAUAGAGGUAGUAACUGGCCUUUAUUUGACGGUAAUUACUUAGAAAGUCACGGCUAACUACGUGCCAGCAGCCGCGGUAAUAAGUAGGGGGGAAGCGUUGUUCGGAUUUAUUGGGGGUAAAGCGAGUGCAGGCGGG
rnacentral:rRNA from 1 species